CGCGUAGGCGGCUUGGUAAGUCUGAUGUGAAAUCUCUGGGCUUAACUCAGAACUCGCAUUAGAAACUGCUUUGCUUGAGUAUAGGAGAGGAGAGUGGAAUUCCUGGUGUAGCGGUGGAAUGUGUAGAGAUCAGGAAGAACACCGGUGGCGAAGGCGGCUCUCUGGUCUAAUACUGACGCUGAGGCGCGAAAGCUAGGGGAGCAAACGGGAUUAGAUACCCCGGUAGUCCUAGCCGUAAACGUUGGAUAUUAGGUGUAAGAGGUAUCGACCCCUCUUGUGCCGGAGGAAACCCAUUAAAUAUCCCGCCUGGGGAGUACGGUCGCAAGGCUGAA
rnacentral:rRNA from 1 species